GUGGAUUAGAUACCCUGGUAGUCCACGCCCUAAACGAUGUCAACUGGGUGUUGGGGAAGCGAUUCCUUGGUACCGUAGCUAACGCGUGAAGUUGACCGCCUGGGGAGUACGGCCGCAAGGUUAAAACUCAAAGGAAUUGACGGGGACCCGCACAAGCGGUGGAUGAUGUGGAUUAAUUCGAUGCAACGCGAACAACCUUACCUACCCUUGACAUGUCCGGAACCCUGCUGAGAGGUGGGGGUGCCCGAAAGGGAAUCGGAACACAGGUGCUGCACGGCCGUCGCCAACU
rnacentral:rRNA from 1 species